CCCCAGUAAACGGCGGCCGUAACUAUAACGGUCCUAAGGUAGCGAAAUUCCUUGUCGGGUAAGUUCCGACCCGCACGAAAGGCGUAACGAUUUGGGCACUGUCUCAACGAGAGACUCGGUGAAAUCAUAGUACCUGUGAAGAUGCAGGUUACCCGCGACAGGACGGAAAGACCCCGUGGAGCUUUACUGUAGCCUGAUAUUGAAAUUCGGCACAGCUUGUACAGGAUAGGUAGGAGCCUUUGAAACGUGAGCGCUAGCUUACGUGGAGGCGUUGGUGGGAUACUACCCUAGCUGUGUUGGCUUUCUAACCCGCACCACUUAUCGUGGUGGGAGACAGUGUCAGGCGGGCAGUUUGACUGGGGCGGUCGCCUCCUAAAAGGUAACGGAGGCGCUCAAAGGUUCCCUCAGAAUGGUUGGAAAUCAUUCAUAGAGUGUAAAGGCAUAAGGGAGCUUGACUGCGAGACCUACAAGUCGAGCAGGGUCGAAAGACGGACUUAGUGAUCCGGUGGUUCCGCAUGGAAGGGCCAUCGCUCAACGGAUAAAAGCUACCCCGGGGAUAACAGGCUUAUCUCCCCCAAGAGUUCACAUCGACGGGGAGGUUUGGCACCUCGAUGUCGGCUCAUCGCAUCCUGGGGCUGUAGUCGGUCCCAAGGGUUGGGCUGUUCGCCCAUUAAAGCGGUACGCGAGCUGGGUUCAGAACGUCGUGAGACAGUUCGGUCCCUAUCCGUCGUGGGCGUAGGAAAUUUGAGAGGAGCUGUCCUUAGUACGAGAGGACCGGGAUGGACAUACCUCUGGUGUACCAGUUGUCGUGCCAACGGCAUAGCUGGGUAGCUAUGUAUGGACGGGAUAAGUGCUGAAAGCAUCUAAGCAUGAAGCCCCCCUCAAGAUGAGAUUUCCCAACUUCGGUUAUAAGAUCCCUCGAAGAUGACGAGGUUAAUAGGUUCGAGGUGGAAGCGUGGUGACACGUGGAGAUGACGA
rnacentral:rRNA from 1 species